rnacentral:lncRNA from 1 species
AGUUAUUUAAUUAAAAAAUGCAAAAUACAUAUCUCAUUUAUUCAUCAAAAAUACAAAAAAAAAAACGAUUCUCAUCAUCAACAUGUAUGUAAUCUUGUACAAAAAUCAAAACAAUUUCCAAUCAAAUUAAUUUAACCUUUUUGCAAAUAAUUAGAUGGGUGGAGGAACAUAUACACUGUCCUCUAGUAAUCGUUUGGUUGGUGUGUG